UAACAUGUAAAUGUUGAAUCUGCAUCUCACUUGAAAUGGUUGGGUUUGGAGAAACGGAUAGUCAAGCUUAUUGGAAUUAUUGUUAAAAAAGUAAUUUGAAGGCCUUCCCUGACUUAAAGUGGAUGCUGCUUUGGAAAGCACUGGAAAAAUGGAUCCUGUCUUUCUUAGCCAAGGACUGGUCUCUUUUCUCCAAUGUGUCCCUAACAGAGUGGUGAGGCUGGCUCUUCCCACCAGUACAGGAAGAUCAUUCCUUAAAAGAAAUAGCCAUAUGGCUUAUAAGGUAAGACUACUCAGUUCCCAUCCCAACCCCCAGAAGAGAAUGGAGGAAGGGAAGCAGACUCUGGCUAUAUUUUUAUGGCUGCACUCCAGGCAGUACUGCAGAGGCAACAGGCAGGCUCUGAAAUGCCUUCUUCCCCCUGCUAUCCUCAGGCCUGUGUUUCUCUCUUACUCCACCCAAGUCCUGGGCCCUUACAUGGCAGAGGGAGGGAGAAGGGCCAGCAACAUUGGUUAACAGGAAUAGAGAAUGUUCGAGGAAGGCAGUGGCAGGCAAUAGCCAUAGAGAGUCACAGAAGGUUAAAGAGGUUGUGGAAACAGUCAUUUGUUUUUCAAGCAGUUCCGGUGGGGUUUGAGAAAGCAGCAGCACUCAACUGUGAGCAGACAAACUCACUUUGGAAACCUAUGCAGCCACUUCUAAGUAAACUACCAAGAGAAUUAUUAUUUUAUUUAGGUUCCUCAUUUCAGUGACAAUCUUUUAAUCCUUUGAACUGUAUGCUGAAAAGGACAUUAUAGAUCCUCCUGAAAGAUAAUUUUUAGUGUCCACGGUU
ensembl:lncRNA DARS1-AS1 DARS1 antisense RNA 1